GAUCCUGGGUUAUAUUUUUUAUGUUUUACAAUGAUGACCAGAGAGCAAUUUGGGUUACUUAUGAGGUUUCUACAUAAUUGUCCACAAUCAGACAACUUAAAGGAGGAAAUCACAUUUAUUUCAGAAGACACACACACACCCACGUCUAUCAAUUACCCUUUCCCACAAAAGACACUCUCCGUUUACAACUUCAUAUUAGAUACUAUGAGGAAAAUACUCCUUUGAUAUUAUACAUGAUUAUACUGUAUGACUUCUGUAAUACUAUUUAAAGUUGCACUGAUAAGGAGGCAAAAUCACUGGUAUUACUCACAGGGACGAUAGAUGUACCACUCAGAAGGAGAGGAAAAAACAGUGUGGACAGAGCAUGGAAUCCAGGAAUCAAGCUAACUUAAGAGGAGGGCACUAUUGGAUGUAAAAUGUCAGAAGUGAUUUUAAGAUAAGCAUUCCCCAAACAUUCGGAGUACUGAAGGAGAAGAUCCACUCAAGGUGCCAGUGAACUGAACCAAAAGUUGAUUAUACAGUCACUGAAACAGACAUGGAAGCAGCACUAGUAUAAAAGGACAAAAAAAAAAAAAAACCCUUAGGUUUAUUAUGAUUAGGAGCUUUUUAGGUUCUUGUGUUGAUGUUCUGGUGUGGAGAAUAUGGUCCCUUGAAGGUUCAGGAUGGACAGGCUCUGCAGCAAAUAUAUUUACAGUAGUAACAAGCCUUGUAAAGUUAGGAACAGUGAGAUUAUAAAUGACCGUUUAUUAAGUUCUGAGAAAACAUUAAUAGGUAUAAAAGAAAAAAACUUCAAAUU